ACGCUCCAUCGUACGAUGCGUUA
rnacentral:snRNA from 1 species